CGCGUAGGCGGCUUGGUAAGUCGGAUGUGAAAACCCGAGGCUCAACCUCGGGCGUGCAUCCGAUACUGCCCGGCUAGAGGUAGGUAGGGGAGAUCGGAAUUCCUGGUGUAGCGGUGAAAUGCGCAGAUAUCAGGAGGAACACCGGUGGCGAAGGCGGAUCUCUGGGCCUUACCUGACGCUCAGGCGCGAAAGCUAGGGGAGCGAACA
rnacentral:rRNA from 1 species